UCACGAGCGUUGAAGAGGGCCAGUAAGCAGUUCUUUCUGUGAAAGAGAGUGAAAUGGCAUGCUGAAACAUUUCACCACAUGAAACCUGCCGAACCUGCCUCGGAGUCCCAGGGGGAAAACCUGGGCGCAUACCCUGGCGUUAAAGGGGAAAGAGGAGUGCGCUUUAUUUUCUCGCGCAUUCAAUGAAGGUGGUACCGCGGAAAGCUCUUUUCGUCCUUUUU
rnacentral:ncRNA from 1 species